GAUUAUUUCAAGAGAUUUUUUUCAAAAAGAGGGUGACUUUGGCACAGGUUCUGCACAUUAGCUGCAUCUCCACUAGGGAAGAAGAACAUCGGGCAGACUUGGUGUGCAGAAUGGCAGCAUUUGGGGUUCCUGUCACAACUGAAGACAGAUCUCUCCAAGGAGUCCUCUUUCCAUUAUUUUUAUCCGUCACAGGGACGGAAAUCCUGCUGAAGUCCUGCUUCUUGGCUCGCUUUGCAGCUCAGCCUCCUUGGGGACACUCACUCCGAUGGCCAACCUUGAGGUGGCGUAGCAGCACGACAUGGUUUGUAGAGAAAAGAAGAUACAGACCGUUCUGGGCUGCCUCAUGACCUCAAGGGUUAAGUCCAAGAUAGACGAUUGUCAGACUCAUCCAAGACCAUCCCAAACUUUCUCUUAGCUUACCUGGUGAGGUAUGUAUAAAUAUGAAUUCUUUCAGUGGAUUCUCCCUUUAAGCUGCACAUUCUGCGUCAAAGAGAAUAUGGCACAUAGACUGUAGCAUCUGCCUUAACUUUCCUUCUCCUUUCCUACCCUCAAAAGUGGAACAAAUAUUGGGAAAUUAUUUCAGCAUCACCUCAACCAUGAGGGUCUGAUGUAUGGGCACAGCAGGGCCUUCUCUUAGUCCAGAAUGUUGGGAAUGGGAUAGAAAUGCAAAGAAGAAACCCAGGCUGUCCAAGCUCUAAUGGCAUUUAAAAGCUGAUAGCAUCUCUCCUGAACUUUUUCAUCCCCAGCAGAACUGAGCCCUGGGUUGCAGGCUUCUGGCAGAAUAAUACAUUUUCUUGGAAGUAGAGCUUUAAGUUCCUUAGAGCUACUCCCAGGUCAGAAGGCAUAAGUUUUCAAACUGAAUUGUCCCCCAAAAUUUAAAAGUCAGCCUCUCUAUGAAUCUCUUUUCAUUGGCACCUUGUUUUCUCGCGCCGGGGGGGGGGGCGCAGAAACGGAAAAGUCUGUCUGCUCUGCUUUAGCAGCACGUAAAUACUGGAGUUUAGAUGCUCUGCCCUCCAGUAUUGCUUUGCUGCUUUAGUCAAGCUGGCACAUGCUCCAGGGAAUUGCUCUGUGGGGCCUUAAAACAAUGCCGAGAGGUUGCUCAUUGUCCCGUGGCUUGUAAAACAUCUGCCCUCUUGGUGUUUCAGGCGAGGGUUUUAGGAUGGGGUGGGGGAGUUGGGAUUCUACCCACAUAAACCAACAGCCCUCUCCCUGUACUUGAGUAGGAAACAUUCUCCCCCAGCAUGAGAGUCAGAGGCAGCAUCGCCUGAGCUCAAGUCACCUGCAUCUUUGAAAAACCAACGGUUUUCUGUUAGGGUUUGUACUUGAUGUUCAGGGAACUGUCUUCCCCUGUGAGAGAGUUUAGGGAACUACGCCACGGUGGGCUUGCCAAGACCAGCGAGCAAACUUAGGGCUGCUGAUUGUGGGAGGAGAGGCUAUGGAUAUCGUAGCACAGUCCGGCUAAGCUGUUGUCGGCUUUCUUAAUCUGCGUGGGUGGGAAGCUGCCUCUGAACCUUCUGUGGAAGAAGGCAAUUGAAUGUUUGAGGGAUCGCCUGGCCUCCAAAGGGCACCCCUGUGCAAUUUAGCUGAUUGGAUUCCUGUAUCCUACUAAGCGGUGGCUUAUUUCAUCAGUGUUUUUGGAUAAACCACAAUUGGCUGGGUUUAUAUACUGUGGUGUACAAAAGUCAACGAACCAACCGUCCAGCCAUAAAAUGGCUUGACGUGAUGGUCUAGUUCAGGAUUUUCAAACUGUCUUCCACAGAACCUGAGGGAGAAAAACGAUGACAAGAUUCCCUAGUAAAAGUUGUGAGGGGUCCUCCUGGUGCAAGGAGAUAUAAUACCAUUUUAUAAAACUAACAUUUGUAUUAACUAUCUGGUGUGAAUUGAUUAUUGUGCGACUGCCCCGUAUCUGAAGUAUUGGGGUGACAUAACUGGAAGUUCCUGCCUUUCAGGGCAUAUCGAAGCAGUCUAUAAAACUGAGCUGCAGCCAGAAGCUCAACAGUUAGGUUUGCACGUUGCCUAGCCAUUGUUUAUUGAAUAGACCACAGCUGCCUAGGUUUGCAGGACAAGCUGAACCACAAUUUACUUAUUAUAAUGGCUUCAUGCAACAUUUUAAGCCAUAAAGCGUUUUGUCUGGUUUUGGCUUAUCCUGGCGUGCAAACUCAGCCUCGUCCUCCAAACUGACUGACACUAAAUAGACUGAAACGUCUUGGGCUCCAGUUUGAAGAGGCAGGAAUCCGAUGGCCCCUUUGCCUUGUAAGAAACCCAGUUAGUCUGACAAACGGGCCA